rnacentral:rRNA from 1 species
AUGGAGCCGACCUUGAAAUACCACCCUUUAAUGUUUGAUGUUCUAACGUGGACCCGUGAUCCGGGUUGCGGACAGUGUCUGGUGGGUAGUUUGACUGGGGCGGUCUCCUCCUAAAGAGUAACGGAGGAGCACGAAGGUUGGCUAAUCCUGGUCGGACAUCAGGAGGUUAGUGCAAUGGCAUAAGCCAGCUUGACUGCGAGCGUGACGGCGCGAGCAGGUGCGAAAGCAGGUCAUAGUGAUCCGGUGGUUCUGAAUGGAAGGGCCAUCGCUCAACGGAUAAAAGGUACUCCGGGGAUAACAGGCUGAUACCGCCCAAGAGUUCAUAUCGACGGCGGUGUUUGGCACCUCGAUGUCGGCUCAUCACAUCCUGGGGCUGAAGUAGGUCCCAAGGGUAUGGCUGUUCGCCAUUUAAAGUGGUACGCGAGCUGGGUUUAGAACGUCGUGAGACAGUUCGGUCCCUAUCUGCCGUGGGCGCUGGAGAACUGAGGGGGGCUGCUCCUAGUACGAGAGGACCGGAGUGGACGCAUCACUGGUGUUCGGGUUGUCAUGCCAAUGGCACUGCCCGGUAGCUAAAUGCGGAAGAGAUAAGUGCUGAAAGCAUCUAAGCACGAAACUUGC